rnacentral:rRNA from 1 species
AGCGGCGGACGGGUGAGUAACGCGUAGAAAUCUACCCAGUAGCGGGGGAUAGCCCGGGGAAACCCGGAUUAAUACCGCAUACGCCCUACGGGGGAAAGCAGGGGAUCUUCGGACCUUGCACUAUUGGAUGAGCCUGCGUUGGAUUAGCUUGUUGGUGGGGUAAUGACCCACCAAGGCGACGAUCCAUAGCUGGUCUGAGAGGAUGAUCAGCCACACUGGGACUGAGACACGGCCCAGACUCCUACGGGAGGCAGCAGUGGGGAAUAUUGGACAAUGGGGGCAACCCUGAUCCAGCCAUGCCGCGUGUGUGAAGAAGGCUUUCGGGUUGUAAAGCACUUUCAGUGGGGAGGAAAUGGCAGCGGUUAAUACCCGCGGUCUAUGACGUUACCUACAGAAGAAGCACCGGCUAACUCCGUGCCAGCAGCCGCGGUAAUACGGAGGGUGCAAGCGU